AUGCUUUGCAGCCUCUUGCAGAGACAUCUGGCAGAUACCCCCAGCUGCAGUUGGGUUCCUGCUCUGCAGAUCAAGGACACCUUUCCUCAUCUACCCCUGCUGCACAGGAGGGAUUAUGAUACCAGAAAAAAAUUCUCAUUUCACUCUCUCCAGUUUUCCAAGAACUGGAGGCAGCAGAGCAGCCACACAGUGCAGGAUGCUUCUGGCAAUUUCCAAAGUGCUGUGAGAAGGAUAUGCCAAGAAUUCUAUAUCUAAACAUCCACCAAAUGUCCUCUGUCUCUAUAAAAGUCUGUGGGCCCCUUACCCUGAAAGCUAGAAAACUUUUUUUAUGCAUAACUAUAUCAGAAUUGCCUUUGUGCAAAUUUGGGCCUUUUGACUGAUAGGAGGAAACUGCCCAGAAAGCUCCUUGGAGUGAAUCUCCUUUUCCCUGCCUUUGCCCUAGACCUGUGGUCACCAAACCAGACAUCCUAUCUGCUGUCGAAGGCUGAAACUCCAUCCUCUACUUGUCUUUUUGGCAUUCUCAUUAUACUGAGCCCUCCCUGACAUGGCUUUCAGUAAGGAGGGAUUCACUCUUAUCUGAAUGAGUGCUGUCUGGAGGAAUGCAAGAUAGAAAGCACUGAACAGAACCAUAUUCACCCUGCCACUAUGCAUUAGACUUAAAAAGCUGUCUUUGAAAUCGAUAUUAGUCAUGCUCAAAUGCAGUGCUCUUUUCAGAUUUUUUCAAGAUUUGCACCAAAUUAACAAUAUCUAUUUUCAUAAUGGCUUUCAGGCUGAGAUUUCAAAACGUUUACAUGUGGUGGAUGAGCACUGAUGGGUAACUUGCAGAUGACUCAGAUUUAGUGGCAAAGCAGAAACAGAACUGAAGUUUCCUACUGAGCACACCCUGAUACAGGAGGGCAAAAUGCUGCCCUGUGUUUUGGCUUGCCCAUAUGCACAAUGUAAGAAAGGUAAUUAGCGGAAGGUGAUAGUUUACAUGGUGUGACAACUGGGGUAGAUUGGGGGAUCAGACCUAUUUUUUCAUUUCGUAUCUGUCUAGUACCCAACACGCUGUGUCUUUCUAUUUCCAAUGAGCUGUUAGUGAUAACAGUAUCAUCAGAAUUCAGAGCAGCCUCUGCAAUUUCUGACCAAAUAUUUCUUCUGCAUUUUAAAUAUCUGAUCAUAAUAAAAGUGAAUAAAGAUGUAGUCUGCA
rnacentral:lncRNA from 1 species